CUUGAUGCCAGAAUGACAAAGUCCGUUCUUGAACGGACUAGGUGGUCCACACCGGUGUUUCGGACAGCGGUUCGAUUCCGCUCAGCUCCAUUCUCCCUUCGGGGCUGCAAUGGUUUCGACGGGGCAUAAGGAGGGUGACUGAAGCCUGCUCGGUAAGAGCAAAUCCCGUAACUGCG
rnacentral:tmRNA from 1 species